rnacentral:misc_RNA from 1 species
GGAGUAGGAAAUUGUAUUGCAGAAUGAGAGAAAUGAUAGUUUUGUAAUGUAUUGCAAAUAAGUUGCAUUUCUGUAAUUGGUAUCCUUUACCCAAAUGUGAAAGCGGUUAUUAUUUUGAAUUGGUCAUCAAGUGGUCAUCAUUUGAAUUGGUAUUCUAUGAUGAGAAGUGAUGAUGAGUUAGGCUUAGGAAAAUUUGAGGCCUUUUAAUGGCACUCUCAUGUGUCUUUAAUCUUGCCACCCUGUCUUUGAUCCCCCUCAAUAAUUUUAUGAUUCUUGAUGAUGAAG